rnacentral:rRNA from 1 species
UACGUAGGGGGCUAGCGUUGUCCGGAAUCAUUGGGCGUAAAGAGCGUGUAGGCGGCCCGGUAAGUCCGCUGUGAAAGUCGGGGGCUCAACCCUCGAAUGCCGGUGGAUACUGUCGGGCUAGAGUGCGGAAGAGGCGAGUGGAAUUCCUGGUGUAGCGGUGAAAAUGCGCAGAUAUCAGGAGGAACACCAAUUGCGAAAGGCAGCUCGCUGGGACGUAACUGACGCUGAGAACGCGAAAAGCGUGGGGGAGCAAAACAGG